rnacentral:misc_RNA from 1 species
AAGUCGUAACAAGGUUUCCGUAGGUGAACCUGCGGAAGGAUCAUUACCAAGUUUUAAACAACUUACCCAAAAACUGUGGACUGUUUACCCCUCUCUAAAGCUUUUCGGAGUUUUUUUAGAGAGAGGGCCCCUUCUUAUUCACCAAACCUUUAGUUUACACUUGAUCUACUAUUUUGAAUCUAAAAUUCAAACACAACUUUCAGCAACGGAUCUCUAGGCUCUU